UAAAUAUUGCUAAAAAUUAAAUUGGAAAUGAGUAAAGAAAAGAAGAAAAGAAAAUGAAAUAAAAUGCUAAUUAUGACAUCAUAUGAUAUCAUUUAAAUUUCCUCCACCAAUCAUAAUUUAUUAAACUCAUUAAAAGGGAUAAGGAAGACCAAAACUUGACAAAAUAAUUCUGCUUCUUCCUCACCAAACCAAGCGUCACUCACUCUCCCUAACCCAUUUCUCCAUGGAAGCUUAAGGCAAGCUUGAGACAACCCACCAAGUCACCUCCAAACCCUAACUUCUCUUCAUGAAAAAUUGUCUCUACCACUAGAGCAAGCAUUGGACAGCAAUUUGAAGAGGAAAAAGAAAAGUUUUGGCAAGCUUGGGAGUAGCUCCAACAAGAUUAGUGCCUAUACUCACUUCCUUAUCUUUUUAAUCCUUGUUAGGAAGACAAAUUAGAUGAGAGUUUGUUAAAAAAUUGAACAAAACAAUUAUAUGAAGUGUGUAUGAAAAUUUGCAGCCAUGGAAGAAGGAUGAGAUUUGUGAUUUGUAUGACUUGAAUUGUUUAGAAGUGGUUUGUAAUGAGAUAACUUGAGUUAGAUGUGGAAUUAUAUGUGUUGGAUGGCAUGGAUAGCAUGAAAUGAACACUUGGAAAUUAGGGUUUGUGAAAAAAAUUGGAGUUUUGCUUAUGCAAUGGUAUGUUAACAUUGUAAUGG
rnacentral:misc_RNA from 1 species